UCAAUUACCUAUACUAGUAUUGUCACUCUCUUAACCAUAAUACAAUAUUUAAAUUUUGAAUUCAAAUGAAUUGACUCUAUAAUUACGAAAACUCUUCAUUCUUUCAUACUUGAAUUUUGGCAUAAUAUUUGAGAGAGAGCAUAGAGAGGUAAUCAAGUGGGAGCUUUCCAUAACUCCGGCGAAAUUCUUGGUGGCUUCUGGUGGGUCUUUUCUCGAUAUAUCCAUUGUCAUUCCCGUGGAUGACGGUGCAUGAUCCGGUGUUGCACAAAUCUGAGCUCAACAUCAAGAACACUUCAUUGGUGGUGUUGAAGAAGCUUUGGGUCGUUUUGGUUCGAUUUUACACUUUGAUAGUUUAUUAUUUCGUAUUGUAGUUGUAAUAAUCUUUUAUAAACUACACUUUAAACUCUACAGGUUAUUUCUCAAGUUUGAAGCUUUGGAGAGCCUUUCAUCUCCUGUUAGCCUCUUCGAAGGUUCAACUCUUCACAAGAAGUUUCUCCAGUGUUCCAAUUUUUUGGUUAUAUAUACAGCAUAAUGCCUUUAUCUAUUGCUAUGGCACCCCCAAAUGAUCCUGCCAACACAAUCUUCCAUGUCCUCAAAUCCAGCGAAAGAUGUAACCUCUUUGAACUUGUUGAUGGCAAGCUUUGGGUGACAAAUGUGCUUCUGCUUACUGAAAUUCCAAGCAAUGUCAUCUUUAAAGGUUUUUCUUCAAUAUGCCAAUCCUCUCAUGCUCCCGUUUCACUGUUUGAGCAUGUCCAUUCACUGUCUUUCAAGAAAGGAUUUCUUGGAUUCAGCAAGGACGAACUUCUGACACGUUAAUAAACUCCCUUGGGAAAUUUAGUGGAAGGGAUUUUCUCUGCAUUUUCAGGUUCAAAACAUGGUGGUCUACUCAGUGGGUUGGGAAUUUCGAGAUCGGAUUUGUAGAUGGAAACACAAUGGAUAUUGUUUGAUGUGCCUGAAAUGAAGUCUUACGUUGUAAUUUUACCAAUAAUUGAAGGCAAAUCCAGAUCUGUCAUUCACCCUAGAACUGAAGGUCAUGUUAUGAUUUGUUUUGACGCUAUUGCAUAUGGUCAUGUAUUUGAAAAUUCAUAUAAUUUGAUGAAAG
rnacentral:lncRNA from 1 species